CUAACAAGGAUUCCCUCAGUAACGGCGAGUGAAGCGGGAAGAGCUCAAACCGAAAAUCUCUGUCGCAAGGCAGCGAAUUGUGGUCUAUUGAAGCGUGUCUCAGUGUGCAGUCCCGGCCUAAAUCGAUUGGAACAUCGUAUCAGAGAGGGUGAGAAUCCCGUUCUUGGCUGGGUGUCUGCCGCGUUCGAGCCGUUCUCAAAGAGUCGGGUUGCUUGGGAGUGCAGCCCUAAGUGGGUGGUAAAUUUCAUCUAAAGCUAAAUACAUGUGGGAGACCGAUAGCGAACAAGUACCGUGAGGGAAAGAUGAAAAGAACUUUGAAAAGAGAGUUAAAAAGUACUUGAAAUUGCUGAGAACGAAGGGAUG
rnacentral:rRNA from 1 species